AGAACUCUGGUGAGAAUUCUUGUUUUGGUGGUGUUGGUGAAGGAUCAUCCAAUAUCUUCAUUCACAUAACAGUAAUUAGUGUAAAUAUAAAUAAUAUAUCGGAAGAAAGGAUUUGGGGACA